GUGUCGCCGCUGAUUGAAAGCAGCCUGUAGCAGGGGGGCUCGCAUGUGACAUGUCACCUAUGACCACGGGGCAAGGGGGGUCCAACCCCAGGGGGACCAUCAGCAAGAGACGCGGUGACAUUGCCACUGAGCGAUGUCUCUGCUCUCCCAUAACCUUCCGACGUGGGUUGCUCGUGAAGGCCCUCUGGGGCUGAGAGCUGAGGACCGAGUUCCCCUCUGCGGAACAGCAGGUUUGUUUGGUGUUUGCAGGUGAAGCUGGCCAGGCCCACCUGGCACUGGUGUCUCUCCCUGCUCCUGGCUCCAGCAGCACCCGCACAGGUAUCAGGAGGGGCUGAGGCUGCCGGGCAGCACAGCUGGUCCGCACGGGGCCAGAACUGGAGCCAUACCUGGGGCAGACCUGAGCUGAAAUAUUUAAUUUCCCCCCCUACAGUUCUUUUGGAAGUUGACCUAAAAAAAACCCAGUAAAAUAACUGGAAGAUGGAAGAGGUUGUUUCUUUUCAUGGCUCCAAGCUUGUGAAAAUCCGUUAUCCCCGUAACAACACUGGCCUCUCUCAGCUUGGCACACACUCUUGGCUUUUUGGCUGCCAGGUAUGAAAAAUCUUUCUACUGCCCUAAUCUCUCCUGGACAUCUGUUGUUUUGGGAGACAGAGCAUGUGGAGUGCUGGGCUGUUUGGCUCUGGGGAAGUCACCUGAGAGCCUCUGCAAUAUAUGUAGAGAGCAGAAUGCCAGCAACAGUGAGCCCAGCCUUUGCAAGCUUAGAAAUCAAGCUGUGGAACUGCGGAGGUGCUAACACCCCAUGGAGGAACAGUGGUGUGCUGCCACGCCAACAGGCACCGCUCGCUCUAAGGACAUCCCAAGGACUGCUGAAGGCAAGUGACAGCAGCAGCAUUCCCUUGCUGGGCCAACCCCCAGGUAACCGGUUUUGGUCAUGCUGGUUUGCAUGUUUAGCUGGGCUCUGACAGCUGGUGCUGGCGAGACUUGAGAUACCCAGUGGCACAGCCACUCCCCCCAACACCCCUUUGCACCCACACUGGUUUCCUCCCUUUAACACUGAAAGUAACCUGCAUUAGUUUUAACAGAUUGUACUCUUGAAGCCCGAAAGAGACCAACAGAAACUUCUCUUCCAGUUCCACACCAGAAUACACUUGCUGCUCAUGUCCCAGUGAGGUUAGGCUGGGGAAUAUCUCCCUCUCCUUCCAGCCAGGGACUGGCUGCUCUUUGGUGAAAGUCAAAGCGAUGUUCCUGCAUGUCUGCAGCUAGCAGGGAGCUUCACCGAGCCCGUGGGCAGUGCAGCCUCUUCUCUGCACCCUCUUGUCAGCUCCAUAAGGAUACAGCUCCUGGUGGAUCUGUGUCCCGACAGCUGUGGCUUCCAUAGCGCAGCUCUCCAGCACAGGAAGGACAUAUUUGUCCCCAGGUUGCUGCUCCAUGCAAAGACCCCCCACCAGCCAUUGGUUCACUCUCCUUCCCAUCAAGGAGAAGAGAGGGCAGAGCAAGCUCAUUGUGCCAAUCCAGAAGUGCUGAGGGCAGAGGUGCUGCCCAAGCCCUGCUCUCCCAUGGCAGUCCCUACUCCAGUCCUCCUGAGCUCAAGUUCUGCCUCAGCUUGCAGCCACUAGAACUGCAAAGAAGUGCAAAGCACAAGAAACUCAGCUGGUGGGAGCACAGGCAAGCAAGGAACAGAGCAAAGGGGCAGGGAAGCAGCUCUGCACAUGUUACAGCAGUGCUCAGAGUCCUGCUCCAGACCAGCCUGGAGCACUCUGGAAUGCAGCAGUGGCUCUGCCAUGACUGUGUGUCACGUGGCAGGGACACCUGCUGAAGGAGCAGAACAGUUUAAACAGGCAACACUUGGCUGAACCUGCUUAAUUGAAGGAUGGAUCUAAGCAUUAUCUACUACUGUCACUACGAAUGCUUCUGGCCUCUUUUGAAAGUGCAGGACUUGAGCCUGCAGCACAAGAGAUUUGAGAAUCCCCAAAAUUUUUACCAAAAAAUCAAACUCUGAAAGAAAUUCCACGCUCCCACCAUUUUAUGAAACAUCAAAGACCAGACGAUACAGAAGCUGCACAGUGGGUUAUUCAGGCAACAUUUAUUAGAGUAUUUCAAGUAUACAAUGGUUUUACUGAUGGCUGUGAGCAGCUAAGAUGCAGAUGCCAGCAGGAAAGGGUGACCUAGAACUAGCAGGCUGUGCAAUUCUUGUGGAAAGUUAAUGGUUUCAGCUGAUAGAAAAGGAAAAGAAAAGUAGCAGACUAAAAGUUUAAGCAAGUUUGGGGAUGGAGAGGAGAAAAUAUAGAAGUUAUUAUUUGAAAUCAUUUACUUAAAUUGGCCACUCACAUAUAGCAGAAGCUGUCUGCUAUUGCACUCUUCCCUUGGCAUCCCAAGGACCUAAAAUAGCCAGGGGUGUUUUUUCCACCAAGAACAGACAGCAUUUUCCCUGGUAAGAAUGGAGGCCUGCACUGGUGGGCAACUCCAGAGCCCUGGCUCAGCACUUGGAGAUUGAGAUCCCUGGCUUUGCACACUCACAGGUGAGAGCCAGGCUGUGGCACUUCCACCAGUGAGGAGGCAAAGCAGACUUGCAGCAAGAGCACACUAAACUAUCAACCCCUUACUAUAAGGCAGCUUUAGGUCAGGACUCUUUUUGGGUGCCUGAGCUGUUUAGAAAAGCAAGGACCACAUGGCAACAAGACUACAAGGUCCUCUGACAAAAACAAGGACUGUGCGUAUUUCCCAAGAACUAUUUCUGAAAGACACUUCCUUAAAAAUAUCUUAAUGCAGAGAUUCCC